rnacentral:rRNA from 1 species
GGGGAAUUUUGGACAAUGGGGGCAACCCUGAUCCAGCCGUUCCGCGUGAGUGAAGAAGGCCUUCGGGUUGUAAAGCUCUUUCGGCAGGAACGAAACGGUAAUCCCUAAUACGGGUUGCUAAUGACGGUACCUGCAUAAGAAGCACCGGUUAACUACGUGCCAGCAGCCGCGGUAAUACGUAGGGUGCGAGCGUUAAUCGGAAUUACUGGGCGUAAAGCGUGCGCAGGCGGUUUCGUAAGACAGAUGUGAAAGCCCCGGGCUCAACCUGGGAAUGGCGUUUGUGACUGCGAGACUAGAGUAAGGCAGAGGGGGGUGGAAUUCCGCGUGUAGCAGUGAAAUGCGUAGAUAUGCGGAGGAACACCGAUGGCGAAGGCAGCCCCCUGGGCUAUUACUGACGCUCAUGCACGAAAGCGUGGGGAGCAAAC